UGGGGAAUUUUGGACAAUGGGCGAAAGCCUGAUCCAGCAAUGCCGCGUGUGUGAAGAAGGCCUUCGGGUUGUAAAGCACUUUUGUCCGGAAAGAAAUCCUUGGCUCUAAUACAGUCGGGGGAUGACGGUACCGGAAGAAUAAGCACCGGCUAACUACGUGCCAGCAGCCGCGGUAAUACGUAGGGUGCAAGCGUUAAUCGGAAUUACUGGGCGUAAAGCGUGCGCAGGCGGUUUGCUAAGACCGAUGUGAAAUCCCCGGGCUCAACCUGGGAACUGCAUUGGUGACUGGCAGGCUAGAGUAUGGCAGAGGGGGGUAGAAUUCCACGUGUAGCAGUGAAAUGCGUAGAGAUGUGGAGGAAUACCGAUGGCGAAGGCAGCCCCCUGGGCCAAUACUGACGCUCAUGCACGAAAGCGUGGGGGAGCAAACAGGAUUAGAUACCCUGGUAGUCCACGCCCUAAACGAUGUCAACUAGUUGUUGGGGACUUCAUUUUCCUUAGUAACGUAGCUAACGCGUGAAGUUGACCGCCUGGGGAGUACGGUCGCAAGAUUAAAACUCAAAUGAAUUGACGGGGUCAUAGCU
rnacentral:rRNA from 1 species